AUGAGCCAAAGUUAUUACUUUGUGAAGUCUUGCGGGACUUCGGGUAAUAUCUUUAGAAAUUAAUCUCUACUGUAAAAAAACUUUUACCGAACUCGGGUUCGGUUCCAAGUGCAGCCAAUGCAUUCCAA